rnacentral:rRNA from 1 species
CCAGAGAACUUAGCAGAGAUGCUUUGGUGCCUUCGGGAACUCUGAGACAGGUGCUGCAUGGCUGUCGUCAGCUCGUGUUGUGAAAUGUUGGGUUAAGUCCCGCAACGAGCGCAACCCUUUAUCCUUUGUUGCCAGCGGCUCGGCCGGGAACUCAAAGGAGACUGCCGGUGAUAAACCGGAGGAAGGUGGGGAUGACGUCAAGUCAUCAUGGCCCUUACGGCCAGGGCUACACACGUGCUACAAUGGCGCAUACAAAGAGAAGCGACCUCGCGAGAGCAAGCGGACCUCACAAAGUGCGUCGUAGUCCGGAUUGGAGUCUGCAACUCGACUCCAUGAAGUCGGAAUCGCUAGUAAUCGUAGAUCAGAAUGCUACGGUGAAUACGUUCCCGGGCCUUGUACACACCGCCCGUCACACCAUGGGAGUGGGUUGCAAAAGAAGUAGGUAGCUUAACCUUCGGGAGGGCGCUUACCACUUUGUGAUUCAUGACUGGGGUGAAGUCGUAACAAGGUAAGCGUAGCGAG